rnacentral:lncRNA from 1 species
GAUUGGGGGCAACCAGUGAGGAGCAAAGUCAUAGAUGAGCCAGUUGACAUCGGAGUUCUGUAGAAACUCAGUGAGAGGGAGUUGGAGCUGGUCGUAGGCUCGUUUCAGAUUCGGGAAUAGGUGGAAUGGCAACUCGGAGGUGGACUCGGCGGAGUCGGGCAAGCCAUGGACGGCAGGCAGAGGCAGUGGCAGUCGUACCAUGGUUACAAGUGAGGAUAAAUUUGGAAUUUGAGAGAGGCGACGAAGGUUUUUAGGGGUGGAGAGGAAGGAAAUGCGGUGACCCCUUUGAACUAAGUGGCUGGAGAGAUGAAGAAAAGGUAAGAAGUGGCCAAAGGCCAGCCAUGGGAACACAGCUAUGUGAAGCUUCUGAUGCUCUUUCUUCAUCUCAUCCAUGGCAAUGGAGUUGUGAGUUGUGAGAGAAAUGAUCAAGAUUCAAAACUUUGGGUAGAGCAGUGAUGUGAAGUUGCAGAAAGAGUUGUCGACUUGUGCUCAUCAUCAAAGGAGCAGCGCACCAUGGAUGGAUGUCCCGCUGUACUUUUAUUGGACCCUUAUCGUUAAAUCCUAUCACUCAUCCCCGCAAUGGUAAGCCAAGGGGAAAAAGUGUGUUUUGGUGAGAGGGUUUUGAAAAAAGAAAGAAAAAGGAAGAUAAAAUCCUUUAAAAAAUAAUUAAAAUUUUCAUUUCAUCAUCUCUCCUGUUAAACAAAUAUUCGAUUUUUAUAUUAAAAUAUAAAAAAUUUGAUUUAAUUAAAAUUUUAUUUUCAAAUUAUUUAAUCUUUACAUCAGAUAAUUAAAAUAAGUUAAAUGACUUUUAAAUAACAUAUGAAAAUAAUUUAUUAAUUAAAUUUUUUUUUUCUUCCAAUUUUUUCUUCUUAGAGACACAACUUUUCCCAUGAGAAAAGGUAGGAUCUUAAUUAUUGAGCGUGGCGGUGAGAUUUUGAAAUGAAAAUUGAUGGUCCUUGGAAACUAUUACCCGACUUGAAAUAGUUUUCUAUAUGCUAAAAUGAUUAAAUGAAAUAAUUUUUUUUGAGAUUUUAAAAAAAAAUAUAUAUUGUUUUUGGGAAUAAAAUUGAGAUAUCUUCAAUUAUAUUUUAAAAGUGUUUCAAAAAAUAAUUUACAAGAAUUAAUUUUUUUUUACAUUAUACAUUAUGUGCACAAAAUUCAUGAAAAAUAAUUAAAUUUUUUUUUUUCAAUGUUUUCAGAAUUGGAUUAAUCAUUAAAUUGAAAAGUUAUGGAUUUAUGGUUCAAUAGUUUGAUUGAUAGUUAAAUCGCGAUUGAACUGGUGAUGUAAUAAAUAUAUAAUUUAUAUAUUAUAUAAAAUUAAAAUUAUUUAUAAAAUUUAAUAUUAAAAAAUAAUAAUAAUUCAUUUUUAUAUAAUUCAUUUUAUCAAAUUAAAUUGGUAAUAAUAAAUAUAAAUAUAUUAAUAUUUUAAAUUUUAUUAAUUAAAAUAAUACACAUAUAAUAUUUUAAAGAAAAAUUAUAUGUUUAAAAUUGUAUAUUUUUUAUUUUAUAAUAUUUAAAAACAUUAUAUUAUUCUCAUAAAUAUUAUUAUAUAAUAAGUAUAAUUAUUUAAGGGUUUUAAAUAAUAAAAAUUUGAAAGAAGCAUUACUUUCCAAAUCCCAAUAGUCUAACAAUGCUUUUGAUAAGUUGGAGGUCCGAGGGUGAGUCCUCAGACAAACAGAAAAAAAAAAAAAAAGCUCAUGGAUCAUAAGCAAUAGGGCCUAUGAGGCUUGGCUUGGAUGGAAUAAUUAGAUAAUUCAAAAAUUAAGUUUAUUCUAUUAAUGUUUCCAUAAAUUACAAUAUUAUUAGAGAAAUUUUCAUGUGUGACAAAAUAAUAUUGUUAGAAUCACUUUAAAAAAUUCAAAACUAUAUUAUGAAAAAAAAAAAAAAAAAACAAUUAUGCCACUGUAAACCUCAUUUUUUUGUGUAGUUUUUUUAUUAUUUUUGUAGCACUUUGCUGUCAGCGUGUUUUAGAGUGGGGGACGACUGUGAGUUACAUGCAUGGGACAUGUGCCAAGACACCACCACCUUGCCAUGGUGGUAGUUGAGAUGGGGACUCCUUUUGAACAGAUGACAGAGGAGUGGGUGGUGAGCAGUAAAAUUGGUGAAGACUGGAGGUGAAAGAAAAACAGAGCAUGGGUGGGCUGUUUUGAGGGGGUACCAGCUAUGAAGAAGGGAGGGAGAAAAACGAGCAGCGGAGGGGGAUUUUUCUGGGAGAAAAAUCUGGAGAGUGGGUGCUGGGUUUUUGUGGCAGCUGAGGGAUUUUAGAAAGAAAAAGAAGAAGAGAGGUGAGCUGAAAUUUGGGGGGGCGGUGGGGGAACGCGUCUGAAAAUAGAGCAAGAGGAGAGGUGGAGUGAAAACGGGGAGAACGGUUUUUUUGAAAGAAAACAGAGCAAGAGGAAGGUUGUCCACGGGUGAGCGGUUUUUGAGGGAGGCGCCUGAAAACAGAGCAAGGGGAGAGCUGGAAGGAGAAACGGAGGACGUUUUUUUUAAGGAAAAAACAGGCAGCAACUGGAGAGAGAGAUCUAGGAGAAAAACGGAGCACUUGAAGCCAAGUGUGCUUGGCUCAAGAGGAGACACCCAUGUUCAUUGUGAACCGUGUAUUUUCUUAUUUUUGGAUGCCAUUUUACCUGAUGUCUCUGUUAACUUUUGGGUCGUUCUUGCUGGUCCUUCCAUGUUCGUUUCCUUGGCUUACCUUGAAAACUGGUGAGGUUUUUUUUAUCAUGUUCAUUGCGGGGCAUUCUGAAGAUCAACGCAUUUGCUCUACUGGGUGUCAUAUCUGCAUUGUAUUUGUUUUUGGCUUUUGCCUAUUCUGUUCUUCUUUGCAACAUACAUAUAUAUAUAUAUAUAAAAUGAAAGAUAUGGUAGUGUGCUCGAUGGGAGUGAACAGAGUAGGGCAGUCCCACAUAGAUUUUGUUGGGGAACGGAUUUAAAAGUAUGGAAAUCACACCCCUUUUUUUUAGGUUUCUAGGAUUUUUGAGUUUCGGGCUAGGUGGGUUUCUUCUUUUGGUUGGUUUUGCCACUCCAAAUGGCUCUCGUUCCACACUUUUUGAUUCACGUUCAGCAUUUCUCUACUUAGGCCUAUGUUUGGUGGCUGGGAAUUUAUAAGAAACUGAUUUUAGGAUCUGGGUAUUUGGUUAUAUGAGAUGAUCUUAAGAACUGUUUGAGGUUUCUACAAACUGCCUUGCAUUUUCAUAUUAUAAACCCAACACCUCUGGUUUGUUGGAAAUGAGUUUGAAAAAAUAAUAAUUGAGCAACUUGGGGCUUAAUUAAAAGUGUGACCCACAUUCCGAAAAUGUCGGGACCAUGCACCAACGCGUUCUCCUCCGUAAGAGUAUAACGUGGUAUAUUUAUUUGUUCAAAUCCAUUAAGUAUUGAAUGAGAAAAUUGACUCCAAAGUCACCCACUUGAAAUUAUAUAUUUAAGGAAACUUGGUAUAAACUUACCAUAAACACUUUAUCCCACGUAGGAAGGAAGUGUGAGGGGAAUGUGAAGAGUUUAUAUAUUGAAUUUUUGCACUAUAGGAACGGCCCAAGGGGCACCCUAAGUUUGUAAAGGGGAGGACCUACAUGGGUGUAGGCUUGUGUGGGUUUAACCCACACGGGCGCAGCCGCCCGGGCCCAUGGGUCUUGGGCUUGGGCUUGCUAUAUAUAUAUAUAAUUUUUGGGCAAAAAUCAUUUAAGUUUCUGGGUCGGGGUUAUCCGUUGGCUUUUCAUAAUUAAGAUUCAUUGUUAGAGUGUGCCUAUUCCGAACAGGUUCAUGACUAUUCCAAACAGGUACGUGUCUAUUCCGAAUAGGUUUAUACCUAUUCUAAACAGACACUAGGAAGUCUAUAAAUAGACUUUCUACCUCGGCAUUAAUAAAAUAAAAAAAAAAUUCAAUCAAUUCCUGCAUAUUUCUCUCUCUCCUCUUUGCAUCCUUUGUCAGUUCGAGUACAAAAUACAAGUUGUGUUCGUGGUGUUCUACAGAUUGAAGUGCUGCUUUUGUAGAACUGAAAAUCCGUUCUAUCUUGGGAGACAUUUAUUCACUACUUGAGCACCAGAGAGGGAAUAAAAUUGUCUUAAAGAAACAGUGUUGUCAUUGGGCUCGAAUUCAUAGAAUUAAAGUAAGUUCUGUAAUUUCAUUUAUUUUAUUUACAUACUUAUUUAAUGUUUACUUAAAGUAUAAACUGUAAAAAGAUUUUAUUGUUAACAUGGUUUGCUUUUUGCAUCUACUCCCCUUCAUUUUUAUGUAAUUCACCAUUCUCUUCCUCUACAAAGAAUCAAACAUGGCAUUCACAAUUUGAAAAGCUUGACCCAUCAAAAACAAUACAUCGAGGCCCUCAAACGCACCACACAAGAGCCACGUGUCAUCCUUUUUCUUUUUUCUUUUUCCUUCUUUUGAUAUUAAAAUUUUAUUUAUUUUUUAUUUUUUAUUUCUCCAUUCUCCAAUAAUUCAUCAAAAUUCCAAUUUUUAAAUUUAAUUUUCAAGAUUUUAAUUUUAAUUUAAUUUUCAAAACUCCAAUUUUUAAGUUUAAUUUUCAAAACUUCAAUUUUUAAAUCUAAUUUUCAAAAAUCUAAUUUUCCAAACUUUAAUUUUCAAAUUUAAAUUUUAAAAUUUCAAAUUUUAAAUAAUUUUCCAAAACUUCAAUUUUCAAAAUUCUCAAAUUCAUUUAUUUAAUAAUAAUAAUAAUAAUUAUUAUUAUUAUAUUUAUUUAUUUAUUUUUUAAAUUCCACUAUCAAAUAAUUCUUCAAAAUUCCAUUUUCUUAAAUUUAGUUUUCAAACUUCCAUUUUAAAAAUUUUUUGAAAUUUCGAUUAUUAAAUUUAAUUUUUUAAACUUCCAUUUUUAAUUAAUUAUUCAAAUUUUAAUUUUCACAUUUAUUUAUUUAAUUAUUGCUAUUAUUAUUAUUUUAUUUUAUUUUUUUAUUUUUAAAUUACAUUCUCAAAUAAUUCUUCAAAUUUUCAUUUUUUUUAAAUUUAAUCUUCAAGAUUUCCAUUUUCAAAUAAUUCUUUUUUAAAAUUUCAAAUAAUUUCAGAACUUUAAUUUUCUUUCAAAUAAUCUUAAUUUCACUCCAAUUUUCAAAUAUUUUUUUAAUUAACCACUUUUUAUCCUUACUAAAAAUUCUAUUUUUAAAUAAACUUGCUAUAUUUCCUUUCAGGGAAGCACCAUAAAUUUUCUUCGAUUUUAAAAUAAUUUUCCGUUUUUCUUGAUUUCUAACAAGCAUGAAGACAAUUUUCAUAAUUCCAAAAUAAUGGAAUUUGUGGGAUUAAUUUAUACAAAAUCAAUUGGGCUUUGGUGGGGCCCAACAUUCAUAACAUUUGUUUUUAAAAUAAUUUAAGUGAAUUGUAUAGUUAAUAUUGUUUGAUUUUGAUUGGUUUUAUGUGAAAUAUUUUACACUUAUCAUUGUACACCAACCUUGUUUCAUGAUAACACUUUAUUAUAUGUUGUCAAGCUACGAUCUUAUUCCUACUUUGCUUAUUCCUAUGCAUGAUUCGUUUUAUUAUUUGAUCUAUGAUCAUUUUGAUAUUUGUUGAUUUCUUUAUCAAUUAUCACACUUACUUCACCUUAUUUAGUAGAAACCAAUUUUUAAGAGCUUAGAGGAUCCUACGAUUUUUAUCGUACAUUUCCAAUAAGUAAUCUGAUCUUACCUUCAAAUUCUGAUAUUAUCUUCAAUUAGACAAUUUUUCUUAAAACUUCACUAAGAAACACAAUAUCAAAUUUGCUUAUUAUACGUUCUCCUUAUAUACCUCAAAAACCUAAGGGUUCCUUUGUUAGGUUUGUCCAUGAAAGGUGAGUCAAAGCCUAAGAUCAAGUCGAAAGGCAUAGUUGAUGGGUAAUAAGUGAAUAUUCUUGUAUUAUCCCUUGUUAGUCUCGAAAAAUCGAAAAGCAACCCCAUUUUUCACCUUAAAUUAAUCAAAAUAAGUAAAAUUUCUUGCUUUUUGUAAAUGAGUAGAUUUAAUAACUAGGGGUCUAUGGCUAACUGAUAUAAAAUAAUUUAAAUAAAAAAUAUACAAAAUCUAAUCAUUAAUAACCCUGAAUUAAAAUUAAGAAAAUUAUCUUCAAAAGAAUAUGUGCUAAUAGCAUAUUAUAAAAUAAUGAGUAAACUAAAAAUAAAAGAAAGUAAAAAAAAAAGAAGAUGGAGAGAAUUUGAGACGAUGUUUUUUUAGAGAAGGAUGUUAAUACGUGGAUGGAACAAUGCUUUUAUAAGCUUACGUAAAGAAAAAGUAGAUAUCUCCAUUAACUUACUGUUAAUAGAUCAAGUAGAUUUAGUUACUACUGAGUCAUUUUCAAGCACCCGAGUGAACUCAUCUAAAUAUUUGGUUUGCAACUUCACAUUUCCAAAGAUUUCCCUCAUUGCCCAUGCAUUUCUCCUAAGUUGCUCUCCUUCUUCUUCCACCAUAACUCGUUUUAUUGACUUACUCACUGAGUCGCCUGUAAAUGAUCCAUCUCGCUUGUCCCUCGGUACUUCCAACCCGACUCGCUUGCCUUCAAGGAGUCUUGCCACCAACCCCAGAUCUGAAGAAGGCCCGGGGAAAAGAAUCAGCACCCGACCCAACCCGAGAGCCUCGAUCACGGAGCUCCAUCCACAGUGGGUCAAGAAUCCACGAACUGAUGGGUGAGCCAAGAUUUGCUUUUGUGGAGCCCAAUUGGCCCAAACUAAACCACGACCUGAAACCCGACCCUCAAACCCGGUUAUAAUCGGAUCAUCUUUGGUUUUAACCACCCAAAUGAAGGGUAAGCCGGAUUUCUCUAUUCCAGAUGCCAACUCGUUCAUUUCGUCCUGACUCAGAGUCAACUCACUACCGAGUGCAACGUAAAGGACGGAGUUUUCGGUUUUCUCGUCAAGCCAUUGUCUUAACGAGCCCCAGCUCUCGUCUCCCUCGCUGUCGUUCACCUCCGUCGGAAGCAACCCUAUCGGAACGACAGGCUUUUGGUAGAGAUUUUCGAGGAGACUCAGUGAAUCACCCUCUAACUCGGCGCAGCUCCUGGUAGCUACAAAUCGGCAGCCUUCAAUCACCUUUGCCAAUCGGAAGAAAUCGGAAGCUUCCGAGUCCAUGCAGUCCUGGAUGCGGGUCACCUCGUGGAUCCUGAAAGCGACGGUGGACGGAAACGGGAUCCACUCAGGAACCACGGUUAAGUUCUCCACCUGCUGUUGACAGCGGCGGAGAAUCUCCUCCGGCGAGCCCAUGAAAGCGAGUGUGCUGGCAUUGAAAAUGCUGAAGAAGACUGAGUUGAUACCGAGUCGAGAGGCGAUUGGGGGCAACCAGUGAGGAGCAAAGUCAUAGAUGAGCCAGUUGACAUCGGAGUUGUGUAGAAACUGAGUGAGAGGGAGUUGGAGCUGGUCGUAGGCUCGUUUCAGAUAGGGGACUAGGUGGAAGGGCAACUCGGAGGUGGACUCGGCGGAGUCGGGCAAGCCAUGGACGGGAGACAGAGGCAGUGGCACCAUGGUUACAAGCGAGGAUAAAUUUGGAGCAAUUUGAGAGAGGCGACGAAGGUUUUUAGGGGUGGAGAGGAAGGAAAUGCGGUGACCCAUUUGAACUAAGUGGUUGGAGAGAUGAAGAAAAGGCAAGAAGUGGCCAAAUGCCAGCCAUGGGAACACAGCUAUGUGAAGCUUCUGAUGCUCCUUCUUCAUCUCAUCCAUGGCAAUGGGGUUGUGAGUUGUGAGAGAAAUCAAGAUUCAAGACUUCUGGGUAGCGCAGUGAUGUGAGGCUGAAAAGGAGUUGUUAUCGCCAUCCAAGGAGCACUAUACCGAACGAGGGAUGUCCCACCACAGCUUUGUUCUUUGGUGCCCAUUGUUAUUUUGGGUACCCACCCAGACUCCAGUAAUAAAGUGACACGUGUAAAGUGUAUUCAAGUAACUUAUCAAACCGACAAGAUGAAUUAUUGAUCGGAAAUAAUCACAUGCAUAUCAAUCAUAUCUACAUAUUAUAACUUUUUUAUAAUUUAUUAUUAAAUAUCAAAUAUAAUUUCUUAUUUAAUGAACAAUAAAACAUUUAUUUAAAGAAAAAAAAAAAGCUACCGAGUUACCCUUAUACUCUCACUAUUCAAACAUAUAAAAAGGGUACUAAUUUAAUAUGAAAAUUAGGUCAACUAAUGCAUUGAAAAAAAUGGGGAUGUGUUUUGAUAAAACACAUUUGAAUGUCAAGUUCAAAACUUUUUGAGGAAGAAAAGAAAAAAAUUUGUAUUCCUUGAUGAAGAUCAAGGAUUUCAAGUGAUUAUAAGUGUCAAAAGUAAUAUUUGAUUGUUUUUUUUAUUUAAAUAUGAAUUAUGUAGGUAGAAAUGUUAUGUUAAAUAAUAAAUAUGUAAUAAUUUUAUAAUUUUUUAUGAGCUUAUUAUUAAUCAAAUGAGGAUGAUUUAAUAUUAUGUUAUCAAAUUACUAUUAAUAUUUUUAUAUUAUUUUUUUUGUGUGUUGAUAGAUUAGAUUUGAAGAUGAAGUUUUAUGUCUUGCAAAGGGAAAACAAGAAUUUUUGUUUCUUAAGAAGAUAUCAUAUGAAGGAUUUCAAGUGAUUACAACUGUUAAAUGUAACAUUUGAUAUGUUUUUUUUGUUUAUUUAAAUAUAAAUUUUGAAAGUAACAAUGUCAUGUUAAAUAGCAUUUAAAUAUGCAAUGAUUCGAUUUAGAUUUUAAAUUUUUUAUGAGUUAUUAUUAAUCAAAUUGAGACAAUUUAGUCAUUUGUCAUGAAAUUGUCAUCAAUAUUUUAUAUCAUUUUUUUGUGUAUUCAUAUAUUAAAUUUGAAGAUGAAGUUUUAUAUAUCUUGAAGAAGGAAAAUAAGAAUUUUUGUUUCUCAAGAAGAUAUUAUAUUAAGGAUUCCAAGUUAUUACAAGUAUUAAAUGUAAAAUUUGAUUCUUUUUUUUUUAAUUUAAAUAUAAAUUUUGUAGGUAGAAAUGUCGUGUUAAAAAGCAAUUGUUUUAAAUAUGUGAGAGGGGAUAUGAACAAUGUGAGAGAUAGUAUAAAUAGUAUGAGAGAAGGUAUAAGCAAUGUGAGAAGGUGUACAAAAAAUGUGAAAAGGGUAUAAACAAUGUAAGACAAUGUACAAACAAUGUGAUAAGGAGUACGAAUAAUGUNNNNNNNNNNNNNNNNNNNNNNNNNNNNNNNNNNNNNNNNNNNNNNNNNNNNNNNNNNNNNNNNNNNNNNNNNNNNNNNNNNNNNNNNNNNNNNNNNNNNGAAUAAUGUGAGAGGGGGUAUAACAAUAUGAGAUGAGAUACGGACAGUGUCAGAGAAUGUACGAACAUUGUAAAAGAUGAUAUAAACAAUGUGAGAUGAAAUACGAACAGUAUGAGAGAAGGUAUGAACAUUGUAAAAGAUGAUAUAAACAAUGUGAGAUGAGAUACGAACAGUGUGAAAAAAGGUACGAGCAUUGUAAAAGAUUAUAACAAAUAAUAUGAGAGAUGGUACGAACAAUGUGAGAAAUGAUACAAACAAUGUAAGAGAGUACAAAUAAUGUGAGAUGAGGUACGAAUAAUGUGAUAAAUGAUACAAACAAUGUAAGAGAGUACAAAUAGUAUGAACAAUGUGAGAGAGGUACAAACAAUGUGAGAGAUGAUAUGAAUAUUGUAAAAGAUUGUAUGAACAUUGUGAGAGAUUGUACAAACAUUAUAAGAAAUAGUACGAACAUUGUGAGAUGGUGUACAAAUAUUGUGAGAUAGAGUAUGAAUAAUGUGAGAGAUAGUACAAACAUAAUGAGAGAUGGUACAAAGAUUGUAAUAGAGACUAUGAACAAUGUGAAAAAGGGUUGAACAUUAUGAGAUGGGGUACAAAGAAUGUGAGAGAUGAUAUGAAUAUUGUAAGAGAUUGUAUGAACAUUGUGAGAGAUUGUACAAACAUUAUAAGAAAUAAUACGAACAUUGUGAGAUAGAGUAUGAACAAUGUGAGAGAUAGUACAAACAUAAUGAGAGAUGGUACAAAGAUUGUAAUAGAGACUAUGAACAAUGUGAAAAAAGGUUGAACAUUGUGAGAGAGUGUACAAACAAUGUAAGAGGGGUAUGAACAAUUUUAUUAAACAAAUUAAAAUAAUUUAAUUAUUUGUUAUCAAAUUCAAUAUUUUUAUAUCAUUUUUUUUUUUGUAUUUAGGGAUUAUAAAAUAUUAUUAUUAUCCUUAUUAUAUAUAUAUAUAUAUAAAUGAAAGAAUUUGAGAAAUGAUAUGAAACAUGUGAAACAAGGUAUGAAAUGAUAUAAAAAUAUUUAUUUAAAAAAAAACCAAAUUGAUAACAAGUAUGACUAAAUAAUGUAAUUUUCUAACUACUUUUUCUUUUAUAUUUCAGUUCCUUCAUGGAUAUGAUAGACAAAGGCAAAGGAAAUGAAUUCAUCAUCGAUUUGAAGGAUGAAGACUUUGACUACCAAUAUGAUAGUAAUGUGAAAACUGAGUUUGAUGAAGAGUCCAUGUUAGGAAUCUUCACAUUUUUUUGUACUCUUCCCAAAAUUUCAAGUAUUUUUAUGUUUAAAUUUUUUUGUGCAUAAUUUACAUCAAUCAUAAGUGUAAUUAGUAUUUUUAAAUAAUAUCAUAACUAUUGAAAGUGGGAAAAAAUUCUUAAAAAUCAAAGAAGUCAAAAUUUUGGAGGAUACGAAAAAUGUAAGAAAUCCUUAUAUUCUUUGUACUUUCUCUUUAUUUCAUGUUUUUUUUUAAAUUUUGAUAUUUUUCUCCUAAUAUUCCUUCAUUUGUGACUCAAUUAAGCUAUUUUAUUGUUAUUUUUAAUGAAAAAUUAAAUCUUAAAAAUUUUUCAAAUAUAAAAUUUGGAGGAUAGGAAAAAAAUGUGAGAAUGUUACAAAUCAUACCCUUUUCAAUUUAAUUUUUUUAGCCAAAUAAUCUAUCAUUCUUGACUCAGUAAAGUUGUUUUAUUGUUAUUUAGAGUAAAAAAAUAAAUCCUAAAAAUGAUCAACAUGUAACAUUUUUAUGAUUUUUAUUAUAAAGUGUUACUAGGAAUACCAUCUUUUUAUGAUUCAAUUUUACAUUCGUGAAAUAAGAGUAAUAGUAUUGUUUGAUGAGUCAUGCUAAAAACGACUAAAUUAAGUUUAUAUGGUUUUUAUAAUUAUAUUCAAAUAUGUUAUAGCUAAUGUUAUAUAAAAUAUAAUGGAAUUUAAAUGUGUUGUAGUUUUAAUUUCAUAUAAUUAAUCAAAUUUUUUAUAAUUGAUCAUGGUCCAAUUACCUAAUACCUUUGUUUAACCUAUGCUCAAAAUGUUGAAUAUCAAUACAAAUAUUAAUUCCAUAUUAAAACAUCACCAUAUUCAUUUUUAUGUUCGUAAAAAUCAAUAUUCAUGAGGAGCUUACAAACUAAGUGAAUUCAAAUGUUUUACAAAUUUUAUACCAAUUUCAUUUUUAUUUUUAUCCAAUUCUAUUUUUUUUUUAUCUCAUUUAAUUAUUUCAUAUAAACCCAAAAUUGUUUGUUUAAAUACAAUUAUCCAUUAUCCAUUCAUCUUGAAACCCAUUUAUCUCAUCUCAUCAUUUCAUCUUGAAAAAUGAAUGGAACGACUGUUUCCUGCCAAAUAAUGGAUCCAAUGGCUACUAUGUGAUGAGGUGUGAUUGGAUGUUUUUGAUAUAUUCCAACGGCUACAAUGAUGAAUGUGAAGAGAAAAAAUGGAAGAAAAUGGACAAAAUGAAAUCAUGAGGGAGAGAAAGAAAGAGGAAGAAGAGACAAAUGAAGAAGAGGGAAUGGAGGAACCAGUUACUCCUUUAAUAGGUUAUCUUGUUUGUUUUUUUUUUUUUUUUAAAUUUAAAAUGGAUGGCCAAGAUCUAAUGACUAGAGAAUUUUUUUGGUACUAUAGAAUUUUCCAUCCCAUAAAUCCUAUUACUUUUCCCCCACAAUGGGUAAGCCAAGGGGAAGAAGUGUGUUUUGGUGGGAGAGUUUUGAAAAUGAAGGGAAGAAUCCUUAAAAAAAAAAAAAAUAGAAAAAUAAUUUUCUCUUUGAUUUUUACAUAAAAAUAUAUAUAAAAAAUCAAAUAUAAUAAAAAUUAAUUAAAAAUUUAUAAAUUUUUAAAUUAUUUAAUCUUUAUAGAAAAAGUAAAACGAGUUUGAAAUAUCGUAUAAAAAUAAUUUAUUAACUUUAAAUCAAUUUAUUUAUUUUUCCACUUUUUAUUUCCUUUCACUUUCUUUUUAUUUUAUUUCUCUUAUAUAUUCCCUUAAAUUUUUAUGAACCAAAUAUAACUUAAAAGCUUAAUAUAUCCCAAUAAAAAAAAUAUUAUUUGCAUUAAUAUUUAUAAUCCACCUUUAAUUUAAAAAUAUGUAAAACAAUAAUAGAUAUUUUGUGUUGGACGUCAUUUGUCUUAUCCGGGCUGAGCCGUGGAGUAUAUUUGGCUCUGUGGGAUGCUCGAGUCCGGAGACUACACGUUUCCCCACAAAGUGGCCUCCCCAGGAUUUGAACUCAAGACCUUAAGGUCUUUUGGUUUGCCCUNNNNNNNNNNNNNNNNNNNNNNNNNNNNNNNNNNNNNNNNNNNNNNNNNNNNNNNNNNNNNNAUUUUGGAAUCACAUAUUUUGGCAUAUUAAAACACAACUUUUCCCAUGGAAAAAGGCAUGAUGGUCCAAUUACCUAAUACCUUUAUUUAACCUAUGCUCAAAAUGUUGAAUAUCAAUACAAAUAUUAAUUCCAUAUUAAAACAUCACCAUAUUCAUUUUUAUGUUCGUAAAAAUCAAUAUUCAUGAGGGAGCUUACAAACUAAGUGAAUUCAAAUGUUUUACAAAUUUUAUACCAAUUUCAUUUUUAUUUUUAUCCAAUUCUAUUUAUUUUUAUCUCAUGAAGGGCAACUCGGAGGUGGACUCGACGGAGUCGGGCAAGCCAUGGACGGGAGGCAGAGGCAGUGGCACCAUGGUUACAAGUGAUGAUAAAUUUGGAGCAAUUUGAGAGAGGCGACAAAGGUUUUUAGGGGUGGAGAGAAGGGAAAUGCGGUGACCCAUUUGAACUAAGUGGUUGGAGAGAUGAAAAAAAG